CCUACGGGCGGCAGCAGUGGGGAAUAUUGGACAAUGGGCGAAAGCCUGAUCCAGCCAUGCCGCGUGUGUGAAGAAGGCCUUCGGGUUGUAAAGCACUUUCAGUGGGGAAGAAAGCCUUGGGGCUAAUACCCUCGAGGAAGGACAUCACCCACAGAAGAAGCACCGGCUAACUCCGUGCCAGCAGCCGCGGGAAUACGGAGGGUGCGAGCGUUAAUCGGAAUUACUGGGCGUAAAGCGCGCGUAGGCGGUCUGAUAAGCCGGUUGUGAAAGCCCCGGGCUCAACCUGGGAACGGCAUCCGGAACUGUCAGGCUAGAGUGCAGGAGAGGAAGGUAGAAUUCCCGGUGUAGCGGUGAAAUGCGUAGAGAUCGGGAGGAAUACCAGUGGCGAAGGCGGCCUUCUGGACUGACACUGACGCUGAGGUGCGAAAGCGUGGGUAGCAAACAGGAUUAGAUACCCCUGUAGUC
rnacentral:rRNA from 1 species